rnacentral:rRNA from 1 species
CAGCCGCCGCGGUAAUACGUAGGGGGCAAGCGUUGUCCGGAAUCAUUGGGCGUAAAGAGCGUGUAGGCGGCUCGGUAAGUCCGCUGUGAAAGUCCAGGGCUCAACCCUGGAAUGCCGGUGGAAACUGUCAGGCUGGAGUCUUGUAGAGGGGGGUGGAAUUCCAGGUGUAGCGGUGAAAUGCGUAGAGAUCUGGAGGAAUACCGGUGGCGAAGGCGGCCCCCUGGACAAAGACUGACGCUCAGGUGCGAAAGCGUGGGGAGCAAACAGGAUUAGAUACCCCUGUAGUCCCUGUCUCUUAUAA